UACGAAGGGGGCUAGCGUUGCUCGGAAUCACUGGGCGUAAAGCGCACGUAGGCGGAUCUUUAAGUCAGGGGUGAAAUCCCGGAGCUCAACUCCGGAACUGCCUUUGAUACUGAGGGUCUUGAGUCCGGGAGAGGUGGGUGGAACUGCGAGUGUAGAGGUGAAAUUCGUAGAUAUUCGCAAGAGCACCAGUGGCGAAGGCGGCUCACUGGCCCGGUACUGACGCUGAGGUGCGAAAGCGUGGGGAGCAAACAGG
rnacentral:rRNA from 1 species